ACAGGCUUAACACAUGCAAGUCGAGGGGCAGCAUGGUCUUAGCUUGCUAAGGCCGAUGGCGACCGGCGCACGGGUGAGUAACACGUAUCCAACCUGCCGUCUACUCUUGGACAGCCUUCUGAAAGGAAGAUUAAUACAAGAUGGCAUCAUGAGUCCGCAUGUUCACAUGAUUAAAGGUAUUCCGGUAGACGAUGGGGAUGCGUUCCAUUAGAUAGUAGGCGGGGUAACGGCCCACCUAGUCUUCGAUGGAUAGGGGUUCUGAGAGGAAGGUCCCCCACAUUGGAACUGAGACACGGUCCAAACCCCUACGGGAGGCAGCAGUGAGGAAUAUUGGUCAAUGGGCGAGAGCCUGAACCAGCCAAGUAGCGUGAAGGAUGACUGCCCUAUGGGUUGUAAACUUCUUUUAUAAAGGAAUAAAGUCGGGUAUGGAUACCCGUUUGCAUGUACUUUAUGAAUAAGGAUCGGCUAACUCCGUGCCAGCAGCCGCGGUAAUACGGAGGAUCCGAGCGUUAUCCGGAUUUAUUGGGUUUAAAGGGAGCGUAGAUGGAUGUUUAAGUCAGUUGUGAAAGUUUGCGGCUCAACCGUAAAAUUGCAGUUGAUACUGGAUAUCUUGAGUGCAGUUGAGGCAGGCGGAAUUCGUGGUGUAGCGGUGAAAUGCUUAGAUAUCACGAAGAACUCCGAUUGCGAAGGCAGCCUGCUAAGCUGCAACUGACAUUGAGGCUCGAAAGUGUGGGUAUCAAACAGGAUUAGAUACCCUGGUAGUCCACACGGUAAACGAUGAAUACUCGCUGUUUGCGAUAUACUGCAAGCGGCCAAGCGAAAGCGUUAAGUAUUCCACCUGGGGAGUACGCCGGCAACGGUGAAACUCAAAGGAAUUGACGGGGGCCCGCACAAGCGGAGGAACAUGUGGUUUAAUUCGAUGAUACGCGAGGAACCUUACCCGGGCUUAAAUUGCAGAUGAAUUACGGUGAAAGCCGUAAGCCGCAAGGCAUCUGUGAAGGUGCUGCAUGGUUGUCGUCAGCUCGUGCCGUGAGGUGUCGGCUUAAGUGCCAUAACGAGCGCAACCCUUGUUGUCAGUUACUAACAGGUUCCGCUGAGGACUCUGACAAGACUGCCAUCGUAAGAUGUGAGGAAGGUGGGGAUGACGUCAAAUCAGCACGGCCCUUACGUCCGGGGCUACACACGUGUUACAAUGGGGGGUACAGAGGGCCGCUACCACGCGAGUGGAUGCCAAUCCCCAAAACCUCUCUCAGUUCGGACUGGAGUCUGCAACCCGACUCCACGAAGCUGGAUUCGCUAGUAAUCGCGCAUCAGCCACGGCGCGGUGAAUACGUUCCCGGGCCUUGUACACACCGCCCGUCAAGCCAUGGGAGCCGGGGGUACCUGAAGUGCGUAACCGCGAGGAGCGCCCUAGGGUAAAACUGGUGACUGGGGCUAAGUCG
rnacentral:rRNA from 1 species